rnacentral:rRNA from 1 species
UACAGAGACUGCAAGCGUUAUUCGGAUUCACUGGGCGUAAAGGGUGCGCAGGCGGUCGGGUGUGUCAGAUGUGAAAUCCCGAGGCUCAACCUCGGAACUGCGUCUGAAACUACUCGACUAGAGUACUGGAGAGGGUAACGGAAUUCACGGUGUAGCAGUGAAAUGCGUAGAUAUCGUGAGGAACACCAGAGGCGAAGGCGGUUACCUGGACAGUUACUGACGCUCAGGCACGAAAGCAUGGGGAGCGAAAGGG